rnacentral:rRNA from 1 species
UACGUAGGGUGCAAGCGUUGUCCGGAAUUAUUGGGCGUAAAGAGCUUGUAGGCGGUUUGUCACGUCUGCUGUGAAAUUUCGGGGCUCAACCCCGAACUUGCAGUGGGUACGGGCAGACUAGAGUGUGGUAGGGGAGACUGGAAUUCCUGGUGUAGCGGUGAAAUGCGCAGAUAUCAGGAGGAACACCGAUGGCGAAGGCAGGUCUCUGGGCCAUAACUGACGCUGAGAAGCGAAAGCAUGGGGAGCGAACAGG